GGCCAAGUGGAGCUCUGUAGCAAACCAUAUUCAGAACAUCCACUGCCACGAAAACACCCUGUUUCCUUCUUGUCUUCACGAGCCUCUGGUUGGUGAUCAGACAAGACACUGGCUCAAACCAAGCACAGCAGCAUGUGAAAAAUUCACAGCAAUUUUGUUGUCACCACGUCUUCUUAAAGACAUGCUCAAAAUUAGUCCAGAAUACCACACCUCUGGAAUCGAGUGUUUCCACAGCCUCAUUCUGAAGUUCUCAGCCAAAAAUGUGGUGUUCUCCUUCAGAGGAAUGUUGUGCAGACUACAGCUUGCUGCGAUGCAUUAUAAUGAAAAUGCAGGCAGAUCACAGGCAUCCACUGCAGCUGGUGAUCUGCGAUACUCAAUAGUUUUCCCAAAAUUCAAGCAUGGAGAAUUUACAGUGAGA